GACAGAGGGUGCAAACGUUGUUCGGAAUUACUGGGCGUAAAGCGCGUGUUGGCGGCAGGGCAUGUCGGAUGUGAAAUCCCGUGGCUCAACCACGGAAGUGCACCCGAAACUGCCCAGCUUGAGUCUCGGAGAGGAAGGCGGAAUGCUUGGUGUAGAGGUGAAAUUCGUAGAUAUCAAGCGGAACACCGGUGGCGAAGGCGGCCUUCUGGACGAUGACUGACGCUGAGACGCGAAAGCGUGGGGAGCAAACAGG
rnacentral:rRNA from 1 species